AAGAAUAUAUAAUGUUUUACUCCCCAGGGAUUGGCCCUUCACUGCAAAGUGUGUGCCCUAGUGUCCACCUCUGGUCACGUCCUGAACUACACGGCCGGACAAGAAAUUGACCAGGCCGACUGUGUGAUACGCAUGAACAAUUCUCCUGUUAACGGAUUCACCAAACAUGUCGGGACGAGGACUACAGUCCGGGUUGUAACACACAGCAGUUUUGUGUACGCCUUCAAUGAAAUCACGAACAUCACUUUGAACGAAAAACGCUCCAAAGUGGUAGUGUGGGGUCCGGACGAUACCAUGAGGACAGACGGGAUGGGGAAGACAUACAAUCAUUUAUUCAAGAUGGCCAACGAUUCCAAGGACGUGGAGUUCUACAUGUUGACGCCAGGGAGAAUGCAUUAUAGCCACCAACUGUUUAUAAAGAGACAGGGUUGAAAAGAGAUUCCAGACAUGAAAUCUUCCUCAGUACCGGUUGGUUCACGAUGAUCCUGGCCACAGAGAUGUGUGAUCAUGUCAAGGUGUACGGGAUGAGCAGUGUAGACAGCUGUCGAGACCCGAAAGUCUACCCCGCUGCGUACCAUUACUUCCAGGCUGAAAAAAUCAACUACAGGAAAGAGUGCGACGAGUAUAACUGGAUGGAGAAACAAAUGAGAAGCGUACAUCACUUCUUUGCAGAGAAGAGAGUUUUUGAAAGAUGGUCAAAAUACCACAAAAUCACCUUCCACUGUCCUUCAUGGAAACCCAAAUGAUGAAUUUGGUUUUUGAAUCUAUAUAUAGCUAUUUAAUGCUAGGGGUCCAAAUUGCACCUGUUUACGUGACCCCGACCGGUCUCCGAAACCACCGAUUUGUCCCGGUGGACUGCUGGAUACCGGGGGUACCUCUUAGUGUUCCCACGGUGUGGGUUGCCGGGCCCCGGGUUGAUUUUGAAUGCGCGUCAAAAUACUCCAGGGGCCCGGCCGUGCCCCCAAAAUAGCCCGGUAGCUAUAGAGUUUUACAUGGGGCUACGAAGGGGUCACUCUUCUACAAAAAAUACAGCUUGUAAACUUUCCGGAGGAACCCCUUUUCCCUAAAAGAGGACUGUUGUAAUUUACUAGUAGAAAUUGUGGAAAUAGACUGGAUGAUUUGCCAUAGGGCUUAUUAGCUGGUCAAUGUGUUGCACAUAGUUUUGGCGACUCAUUAUAGAGUUGUGUACAACAGGAAAGCUUCACCGUGCUUGGAUGUCACUUGUUGAUCACCAACAUGUACAUCAUUUCAUAUAACUGUAUGAAUUUUUUGUUGCAUCAUAUCCAGGUAAUGCAAUACUCGUUUCUGAUUGUAUAUGUAUAACCAUGCCUAGUCUUGAUAUUAUAUAUUCAAUGUUUUAUGUCACAGUAUUGAUUAUGCUUUUUAUUGUAUCAAUAUUCUAGGCAUUGCAAUACUUGUUUAUUCAAGUCAUAUAUACAGACAAAUGUUUGGUUUUUAGAUACAUAUCAGUCAAUGGUUUAUAUCACUGUAUUGAUGGAGAUUCCAUUUAUUGUAUCAAUACUUCUCGGCAUUGCAAGAAUAAACAAUGUUCAAUGAACAUUAGGAAUUUAACAA